rnacentral:rRNA from 1 species
CCUACGGGUGGCAGCAGUGAGGAAUAUUGGUCAAUGGACGAGAGUCUGAACCAGCCUAGUAGCGUGAAGGAUGACUGCCCUAUGGGUUGUAAACUUCUUUUAUAUGGGAAUAAAACGUUCCACGUGUGGGAUUUUGUAUGUACCAUAUGAAUAAGGAUCGGCUAACUCCGUGCCAGCAGCCGCGGUAAUACGGAGGAUCCGAGCGUUAUCCGGAUUUAUUGGGUUUAAAGGGAGCGUAGGUGGAUUGUUAAGUCAGUUGUGAAAGUUUGCGGCUCAACCGUAAAAUUGCAGUUGAAACUGGCAGUCUUGAGUACAGUAGAGGUGGGCGGAAUUCGUGGUGUAGCGGUGAAAUGCUUAGAUAUCACGAAGAACUCCGAUUGCGAAGGCAGUUCACUGGACUGCAACUGACACUGAGGCUCGAAAGUGUGGGUAUCAAACAGGAUUAGAUACCCCUGUAGUC